rnacentral:rRNA from 1 species
AGUAGGGAAUAUUGGUUAAUGGGCGAAAGCCUGAACCAGCAACGCCGCGUGUGCGAUGAAGGCCUUCGGGUUGUAAAGCACUUUUAGUAGGGACGAGGAAGGACGGUACCUACAGAAUAAGCCUCGGCUAACUACGUGCCAGCAGCCGCGGUAACACGUAGGAGGCAAGCGUUAUUCGGAUUUACUGGGCGUAAAGCGCGUGUAGGCGGUUCGGAGAGUUGGAUGUGAAAGCUCCUGGCUUAACUGGGAGAGGCCGUUCAAUACUUCCGGACUUGAGGAUGGUAGAGGAAGAUGGAAUUCCGAGUGUAGUGGUGAAAUGCGCAGAUAUUCGGAGGAACACCAGUGGCGAAAGCGAUCUUCUAGACCAUAACUGACGCUCAGACGCGAAAGCUAGGGUAGCAAACGGGAUUAGAGACCCCGGUAGUCCUAGCUGUAAACGAUGUAGACUAGGCGUUGGUGGGUUCAAAUCCAUCAGUGCCGGA